rnacentral:rRNA from 1 species
GAUGAACGCUGGCGGCGUGCAUAACACAUUCAAGUCGAACGAAGUAAUGAGGUGCUUGCACCGAGUUACUUAGUGGCGGACGGGUGAGUAAUGCAUGAGCAACCUGCCUCGAAGAGUGGAAUAACACAUGGAAACGUGUGCUAAUACCGCAUAAUGUGUACGGAGGGCAUCCUCUGUACAAGAAAGGGGAAACCCGCUUUGAGAUGGGCUCAUGUCUGAUUAGGUAGUUGGUGAGGUAACGGCUCACCAAGCCUGCGAUCAGUAGCCGGACUGAGAGGUUGAACGGCCACAUUGGGACUGAGAUACGGCCCAGACUCCUACGGGAGGCAGCAGUAAGGAAUCUUGCACAAUGGGGGAAACCCUGAUGCAGCAACGCCGCGUGAACGAUGAAGGCCUUAGGGUUGUAAAGUUCUGAUCUGUGGGAAGAAGAAGUGACGGUACCACAGGAGAAAGCCCCGGCUAAAUACGUGCCAGCCGCCGCAGUAAGAC